UAGCCACAUCUAACAUACGAGUCUCUCGUGUUUGUAUCCCUUUAUCGUUUGUAUUUCUCUAUUCCUUCAAAAUGUGUGAGCGAAUCAAUUUACAGAAUUGAUAGGUGAGGGGACCGAAACUGCAAUUUGCACCAUAAGUAAAAGCAAUCAUCAUAACUGGAGAAAACCACCUUUGACUGAAGUUAAUGGAAAGUACACUAGCGUAACCAACUACUGCUCACAGCUACCAGAAAGGCAGCAGCCCCACUUCCCAUUUCCACCUCAAAACCUCAAAUCAAAACAAAGCAGUAGAUCCAAUAUUCAUAAUCCUUCCCACUCAAAUUAGUUACUACUGCUCCUUUGCUAUUGGCAAUUAGGAAGAUGUCAAGGCGAUCUGGGAACCGUGUAAGGUGCUGUUUGGUUGUAUUUGCAGUGGUUUCAGCUCUCUGUGUAUCUGGGCCUGCAAUUUACUGGAAAUUCAAGAAAAGUCUCAGCUUGAAAGCUACAUCGUUUAAUUCUUGCAGUCCUUGUGUUUGUGAUUGCGCCCCUCCUCUUUCCCUUCUCAAGAUUGCUCCUGGUUGAGUGCAAAGAUGGUUGGUGCAAGUGAUCUCUCUUGCCUCUGUCUAUCUUUAAUUUAUCCUUAUUUGAGGUGUUUUGAAGGUGAAAAAUGCUAUUAUUUUCAUUGUACAAUUCUUAGGCAACUUUUGUGAAUUUUCCAAAUUACUUAGAUUUUCAAAUUUUUAGUAAA